AUCGCUUCUCGGCCUUUUGGCUAAGAUCAAGUGUAGAUUUUACUGCAUUUUCCAACUUUUUUACAGUGAGAAACAAUUUUGCAAUUUUGUGCGUGUACAUGUGUGUGUUAAAUUUUUUUUUUAUGUUUAUUUAUUUUUGACAGAGAGAGAGAGAGAGAC
rnacentral:snRNA from 1 species